CUUGUAGAUGGCUUCACAGUUGCCUCUCCACUCCAGUCUGUUGUCCAGGUGAACACCGAGUAACAGCUUCCCUACUAAAAAGUGUUACCUCAACCCAAAUAACAUUCAGGGACAUCCACAGUAUCCCAGAUAGUGAAGUCCUGAGGAACAAGCCAGUGGCCAUCUGGGUUUGGAGGUGUCUUUAAAUGUAGUGGUGUAAAUCUACUGCCCAUGUGCUGGAGGGGAUGUCUGCCUCUCUAUAGGCCCCCAAGCCUCUCACAGAUCAAUAAAGUUAACUCAAAACAUUCACACUCUGCCAUUUGAAAUCAACCAUUUAACGAGUUGCUGUUCCUGUAAAAAUGUAGAAGGCCCCUUCAGAUUUAUUAGAAAAGAGAGUAGAAUUCCAGAGAGAAGGUCGAAGACGAUGGAGAGAAGGACAAAAACAGAACCUCAGUGGUUUUGUUUGAAUUAGUUUCUGAGAACCCUAAAGACUGUCUCUAUGUGGAGCACACAAGUAAUGAAACUGUCUUCUUCACUUAUAAGGAAGUGCACUUGAAUAAGAUCUGAGGCUUUCACAACAGCAAGCAUGGAAACUCUCCUAAAACAGUUUAAGUAAUGCAAUUACACAUGGAACGGCAAGGAUAAUCUAAAUGUCAUUCUGCUUUGAGAAAAAAUAAAAAACGCCUGAAGCAAAAUGACUCUUCAACAUCAUUCAGCAAAUGACCAUAAACCUUUUACAAACAAGCCCGAAGACUGAGGCCGUUGUGUUGCUUCGAUUUCCACAGGCCUCCACAAUAACUCCCACUCCUGAUGAUGUGUGAAGGAAAUACUGGCAAACUGUUAAUACAUUUACAAAGAGCCCACUGCAUGGCCUUCCUGCGUCAGUUCUGUUAAAGGGAAAUGAGAAAAGCACAAACUCCUGAUGUGUAAAUCAUUUCAUGGGGGUAAAAUUGAACUGUUAUUAGGAAGUGUUUUUUGUAAUUUUUAAUAAAAAGUGGAAAAUAACUACAGGAACUCUUGUUUUAUGUAUUUAUUUUGAGUCUUGGCAGCUGUUUCAGUGUCUGCUUCUCCUGGAUUGUCCUAAACUUCUCUUUUACCCGUGUCUUGGAUAUGCUGCCUUAGAUUUGUGCACAUGUAAACACUAUAGUCUACCUGAAAAUCAUCUGCUGAUUGGUUUAUGCUGAUGGAGUGCACACUAAGCAUUCCAUUUACUCCCCACUUCCCUCAAUCUGACCGUUAACUACCGCACUACCGGCCAGGAUCCUUCCAGGGGCCACAUGGGAGUAGGAAGAACGCAUUAAAAUGUCCAGUUUAUAUUGAUGUUUUACUUUUGGGCUUGACAUUACUACACCAAGAAGUAAAUCCCUUAAGCAACUGGCAGACAGAGCAUGGGCUGAGAUUGUGUUACCUGCACCCUCUGCUUUAUGGCGGCUGCAAAGAAAAUCUUACAAGUUAACAAGUGAUCAUGGAAAGAAUUACUGUGGACUCCACACUGCGUGCCGCGUCUCAUCAGGUGUGUUGUUAUGGGGCUAAAUCUGCAGCGGCUCCAGAUGCGCGGGGUGACAGGCGCUGACAGUUGAAGGCACAGGUCAGGAGCACAUGCAGUACAAGGGCACUGUUUGACAUACAAAGCAGUUUACCUCAGCGCAGAGCUAUGUCCAGUUUGGUGUGCGGGAUUAUUUGAAAAGCCAGUGAUAGGCUGAACAGUUAAACAUGCGUGAGGCACAAGCGUGUUUGUGGUAGUAAUGGGCUGUUUGCGCGAGUGUGUAUAAGCCUAUAUGUUUAUGCAGCUAAUGGGGGUUUAAUUUGAUAAGCGGCUGGCGGAUUUGUCAGCACUCAACUGGGAUGGAGGAAACCGGGUUCUGUAUAUUUUGAAUAAACAAGAAGAAAUUCACUCCAGGUUUUGCUUUCCUCUCUUUCUUUUACUGCUUGAGUGUAUGGAUCCUGUUAGUGCCACAGAAAACUAUGUCACUGCGGAUCUUAAAGCAUUUUUGUUUCUUUCAUGAAAUAGUUUGCACAUUUUAGAGAAACAGAGUUGGCUUAAAAUAGGAAGGUUAAUACAACCCAUUUCUGUGCAAGAAGUACAAAAUUGAAAAUCAGAGUUUAUUUUAUUUAGGACCACAGAGAUACUUUACAAAUUGCCCUUUGGAAUUUUAAACAUAAUUUAAGUAGAAAUGCAUCGAUCAGAGAUUGUGUGCUUAGUUUCCAAUCACUGAUUUUGUAAAGUUCUGACCUGACAAUACCAAUUUGAGCCUAAUCUGCUUUUCUUUUAAAUGUUAUAAAUAACACUAUUAAAAAUCAUAUGUCAGUCAGCCAGUCCUUUCUACCGCUUAUUCCAUAGUGGGUCGCGGGGGAGCUGGUGCCUAUCUCCAGCAGUCUAUGGGCGAGAGGCGGGGUACACCCUGGACAGGUUGCCAGUCCAUCGUUGUUAAUAAUAAACAGAAACAAUGAAGAGAUUUUAAAUUAUAAAAUUAAAAGAAUCAUUUUCCCUGUAACAGGUACAGGAUAAACAGCUUUCUCUUUGCAUUACAUGCAAUCUAUUAAUUCAGUCAAAUUCAUCCAGGUUAUGGAACAGAUGUUUUGUUUGAAUUAAGCAACUGAAUAUAUUUACAGCAUAUCUAGCAGCUUUUUCCAUGCCCGUAAAAGAUGUGUACAAGUGCACCAUAAUCACUACAUAAUUCUUUUUACUAAAAUAAAGAACAUCUUUGUCCAACUUAAUAAAAAACUUAAUAAAAAACUCUGGGUUAAUUAGAUGUGUUAAACUCUUUAACCGUUCAUUCAUUUAUUGGAACUACACAUGAACCUUAGGAGCAUUUUUGUUGUGACCAAUCAUUUAUUUAUCUCAGCAGCAGAAGUGAUGUCACACUGUGUGAGUGCGAGAGAGCAGUGGUACACAGCUCUGCCGAUAAAAUAUUUUCACUGCUAUUUAAAAAAAAAGAAAAACAUGACUUGCCUAGUGACAUUUUAAACCAUCUUUACUAUCUCACGUUUGCGAUUAGAGCAGUUAGCAUUGCUAGCUGUAAACAUCUGAGUUAGUGUGUCUUCCUGUAGAGAAAGUAGAGCACUAUUGUACCUUUAACAGAUAGAACUGACAUUUUAACAUUAAUAAAGCUGAUCAUCUUUGCUUUAUUAUGUCUAGCCUCUGUUAUCUCUUGACAUGUUCCUCCUUGAUCAAGUAACAGUCUGAAUGAAUCGCUGUCAUGCCUCCAUAGAAAACAAGCCUCUUUGCUUGUGCAUCUCAGUAAUCCUGCCAUGUUGAAAGACAGAAAGACUUUUUGACUUUCAGUCAAUACCUGACUGAAAAUGACAUGAAAGCCAGAUUUAUGCACAGAUUUUUAAACAUUUAAUUCACUGAUGAACAGCCUUGUUGCAUUUAAAUGUGGUUUUUAAAUCUUUGCUUUUUGUAAAUUCUUACCCAGAGAUUUUGAUCAGGAGGGAAAAAAAGAUUUCCCCUGUCAUAUGAACUGAUUGAAAUCCAACACUGUUUUUCAAACUUACAUUGAAAAGGUUUAACCCUCCUCGUGUAUUUUUCAGUUAGGCCUGUGAGGAGUGUUUGACAUGGGAGAUGUGGAGCUGGGGGUGGUGAUGAAGCUGUAAUGUAGUCACAACAGAGAGUUCAGAGCCAAAGGAAACAGGGGUCUCUCUCUUUUCUAAACAGGAUGAGAGGAUGAGACCACACGCAUGGCACACUGUACACUGUAUAUGUUUCUACAUACAGAUCAAGCAGAACCAUACUUAUCAAAUAAAUCAGUUUUGUGUGUAUACUGUUAUUUUGGUUGAUCCUGAAAUGUCCUUUUACUCAUUUUUUGUUUUAGAAACGCACACACAUAACAGCCCUCUUUGGGGCUUCAUGUUCCUUGAUACUCUAUGAAUGCCCUACUGUUUUUUUUCUUAUCUUUUCCAGUCUUCCAACUCCUUUUCCUUCUCCUCCUCCUCCGGACCAGGAUGGUCCUUAUCUUCACAGAUAUAGUAUGACUUUGCUCCCUCCUGUAGUUUGUCAACGUUAAUGCCUGGUCAGCCCUAAGCUUCCACAUUUUCACAGUUUUUCCUCAUUAUUACGCUUUAACCUUGUGCGCAUCUGUGUAGCCCAGCUCAAACCUGGAUUCUCAAUAUGUCAUUGGGGAAAGACAGAUGUUAUUUUCAGGACCAAAUUAUUAAAACAUCAACACUCAAGGGCUUUAUCUAGUGGAGUUUCUCUUGAGUGUUGUCUUUUUUCUGUUUUGUUUUUGAGGUUGUUCAGAAUCUGCAGACCAGCUGCUGGCUGAGGAGAAUAAAAAGCAGAAAAAGAGACAUUUAACUUUUUUUUAAUUAAUCAGCAUUUUGUACUAUAAUUACAUUUAAUACAACUAUCCAAUUGAUUUAGAUUUCAUUGGCAUUGCAACUGUGGGCUCUUUGUGUGUGUGCCAGAGAGUGUAUAUGUGUUUGAGGUGUUAUUCCAGGUGCUUUGUCAAAGUUGGUGUGUGUAAAUCAGCUGGAGACCGGAGCGAAGAGAGUUACCAUCCUUCAUCACCAGACAAGGUCUGUGCAUGUGUCUGUUUCUGAGGGAAAGUGCACGAAGCAGAGAUAAAGAGAGUAUGUUGGUUCAGGAAGUGAAGGCGGAUUUUGAGAUCUGCAGACACCCAGAGAUGCUUUGAUAUAUUAUAUGAAUGGGUAGAGGGAGACGGAAGCCUGUAAUGGUAGUGUUUGGUAUAUAUAUAUGUGUGUGUGUGUGUCUGGUUGUCUGCUAUGGAGGAUAAAGUGUGUAAAUCUAGUUUUUGUGUGAGCUCCUGUCACAGUUUUAUAUAAGUCCACUAAACAUCAGGUCCGAAAUGUCAAAUGUGGUCAUUCAAAAGGGCCUAGAUUGCAGCAAAUCUUCAUUUCCUAUAGAUGAAAUUUUAAUAACACACACAUACACAUAC